UGGGGAAUAUUGCACAAUGGAGGGAACUCUGAUGCAGCGACGCCGCGUGAACGAAGAAGGCUUUCGAGUCGUAAAGUUCUUUUAUAUGGGAAGAUAAUUACGGUACCAUAAGAAGAAGCCCCGGCUAACUACGUUCCAGCAGCCGCGGUAAUACGUAGGGGGCUAGCGUUGUCCGGAAUCACUGGGCGUAAAGGGUUCGCAGGCGGAAAUGCAAGUCAGGUGUAAAAGGCAGUAGCUUAACUACUGUAAGCAUUUGAAACUGCAUAUCUUGAGAAGAGUAGAGGGAAGUGGAAUUUUUAGUGUAGCGGUGAAAUGCGUAGAUAUUAAAAAGAAUACCGGUGGCGAAGGCGACUUACUGGGCUCAUUCUGACGCUGAGGAACGAAAGCGUGGGUAGCAAACAGG
rnacentral:rRNA from 1 species